rnacentral:lncRNA from 1 species
GGGCAGAAAAAAAAAAAAAACAACGAAAAAAAACCCCGGCCAAUCCAAGAAAUAUAGCGGCGUGGAAAUCAAGGAGAUGAAAGUAAAAAAAAAAAAAAAAUGUUUUAUGAGAGGGCGUGGAGAAAAGCAAAAUCUCGGAGAAGUGCAAAAUCAAGCCUGCGAACUCCUCGGAUGAUGCUGGUCUUGGCUGGCCUCUCCAGCUUGGGGAACGAAUGGAACGAUACGGCGAGGUGCGGAAAUCUCCUGAUUCAGCCUCCCGGAGCCUCUCUGAGAUAAAGCAGGGUCCAGUCCCGUGAGCAUCAACUUCUGCGGAAGGACAAAACAGUUUGAAGGAGCAGGGAGGAGGUGAGAGGAAAAGAAUCCACCCCUCAGAUGACUACAUAAGGAGAUCAAAAAAAAAACAAAACCAACCGCCCCAGAUCCUCUCGAUCUUGCCCAACAGCUGCUCCCCUUUUCCCUCUGAAGCAGCAGCAAGAGCAGCAAGAAAAAAUACACCACGCCAGCGGCAAAUAAAUAAACUUGAAUGCAGCGGCAGGCAGGGAGGGAUCGUAAAGAGCGACGAGGAUUGGAGGGGCAAAAGUCAGUUUUGAAAAAAAAAAAAAAAAAAAAGCUUUAUGGGAGGAAAAAAAAUCUUAAAACAGUCACGCCCCCUUUUGCAAUGACCCGUCCCUUCACUGCGUGUAAAUCCGACAUCAGCAACCUGGAAAAGCUAGGAGCCUGGCGUGCUGAGCUGUCUCUGUGCAUGCGUGUGUGCGACAGGCAGCCGCAGAGCUGUGUACGCGGUACAGAGAGGGAGGCGUCGUCCCGAGCUUCUCCUCCUCCAUGCCAAAAAAAUACCCAACCCCACCUUCUGGAAACCUGACUAAUUGAAUUACUAAGAACUCGAAGUGGUUCCUGUGCAGCCUUACUGCUAAAGGAAGAAGAAAUAAUCUUUUGAAAAGAACAUAAGGAAACAGCUUCAGACAAAUCCGAACAAGUAUUUACUUGUGUGUGAGAGUAUUUCCAACUUGCUAGAAUAGAGGAUUUAAAUGAAGAUUCUUGAUAUUCUUUGUAUUAAACGGUCUGACGAUUCCCUUGCUCCCCUAACCCUCAUUUUCCAGUCCACCAACCAGAGAUAGAUUAUAUGUUUACUCUACUGUGAUGUACUGAGGCUCAAUAACUUCAUGGUUUUGGAUGUUCAAAGAAGCAAGUUCAAGACCCUUGUAUAAAAAAAAGAAAAACACAAAAACAAAAAAGAAAAAUAAAAAUUAAAAAAAAAGCCA